CCCCUAGAUGUUCUGGGCCGCACGCGCGCUACACUGAACAGUUCAACAAGUCUUAACCUUGGCCGAUAGGUCUGGGUAAUCUUUGAACGCUGUUCGUGAUUGGGAUAGACCUUUGCAAUUAUGGGUCUUCAACGAGGAAUUCCUAGUAAACGCAAGUCAUCAGCUUGCAUUGAUUACGUCCCUGCCCUUUGUACACACCGCCCGUCGCACCUACCGAUUGAAUGGUCCGGUGAAAUCUCGGGGCGGCGGCUCGGUCGCUUGCGUCCGACUGCUGAAACUUGAUUAAACCAUAUCAUUUAGAGGAAGGUGAAGUCGUAACA
rnacentral:rRNA from 1 species